CUAAUUCUCUCGUGAGUUCAAGAAGAAAAUUUUUGGUUGCAAACUUCAAGUCUCCUAUUCCUCCUUUUCUUUUAGGAUCUGAUCUGCAAGUUGUGAUGGUUACUUAGCAAAAAGAGGAUAUUGAGAUGGAGGCUCUCCUGUUAGUAAAGGUCGAAUCUUUAGUAGCAAUCUCCUUGUCCUAACUACAUGGCCCAGAAGGAUUUGUCUUAGAAAGACAUAAGUAGUGGAUCCAUCAAAGUUAAAAGUUAAGGUCCUUACCUUGGCAAGUAAGGACAUCUCCUUUCAGUGUGGGAGCAAGACACCAAUUUCCAUGUUAUAGCUCACAUGAUUUAUGUCGGUUAAUGGGUGUGAAACUUCUUGUCCUUCCACUUGUGGCUAGUGUCUUGAUCAUCCACAUUCAGAGUUGGUGAGUCCUACUAUUUAAAGGACCAUGUCACCUUUACUUUAUUUCUUAUAUUUCAGCCUUCAUAAAUUGUACGUAGUGUAGGGUUUACCUCUCGACCAUUUCGUUUGAUA